ACGUAGGCAGCGAGCGUUGUUCGGAGUUACUGGGCGUAAAGAGUGCGUAGGCGGUUUUCUAAGUUUGGUGUGAAAUCUCCCGGCUUAACUGGGAGGGUGCGCCGAAGACUGGAAGGCUAGAGUAUGGGAGAGGUAAGCGGAAUUCCUGGUGUAGCGGUGAAAUGCGUAGAUAUCAGGAGGAACACCCGUGGCGAAGGCGGGCUACUGGGCCGUUGCUGACACUGAGGCGCGACAGCGUGGGGAGCAAACAGGA
rnacentral:rRNA from 1 species